rnacentral:rRNA from 1 species
GACGAACGCUGGCGGCGUGCCUAAUACAUGCAAGUAGGACGCAGUUGCGAACGGGUGAGUACCGCGUAGGUAACUGCCUAUUCGAGGCGGAUAACUAUUGGAAACGAUAGCUAAUACCGCAUACUAGUAGAUGGACCUGCGUUGUAUUAGCUAGUAGGUAGGGUAAGGGCCUACCUAGGCGACGAUACAUAGCCGACCUGAGAGGGGGAUCGGCCACACUGGGACUGAGACACGGCCCAGACUCCUACGGGAGGCAGCAGUAGGGAAGUUUCGGGAAUGUGGGGAACCCUGACCGAGCAACGCCGCGUGAGGGAAGAAGGUUUUCGGGUCGUAAAGCUCUGUUGUUAAGGAGGCGGUACUUAACCAGAAAGGGACGGCUAACUACGUGCCAGCAGCCGCGGUAAUUC